CCUACGGGUGGCAGCAGUGAGGAAUAUUGGUCAAUGGGCGCAAGCCUGAACCAGCCAAGUCGCGUGAGGGAUGACGGUCCUAUGGAUUGUAAACCUCUUUUGUCGGGGAGCAAGGCCCGCCACGUGUGGCGGGAAGGAGAGUACCCGAAGAAAAAGCAUCGGCUAACUCCGUGCCAGCAGCCGCGGUCAUACGGAGGAUGCGAGCGUUAUCCGGAUUUAUUGGGUUUAAGGGGUGCGUGGGCGGAAGGUUAAGUCAGCGGUAAAAUGUCGGGGCUCAACACCGGCCGGCCGUUGAAACUGGACUUCUUGAGUGAGCGAGAAGUAUGCGGAAUGCGUGGUGUAGCGGUGAAAUGCAUAGAUAUCACGCAGAACUCCGAUUGCGAAGGCAGCAUACCGGCGCUCAACUGACGCUGAGGCACGAAAGCGUGGGGAGCAAACAGGAUUAGAUACCCUAGUAGUC
rnacentral:rRNA from 1 species